AUGUUCCAGACACAUACAGCCCAGCAUCCUAAAACAGUAUGGCUGUACCUCCAUGAUAACCAUUACCAUUGCAUAGAGAACAGAACGGCAUUCUUUGGUACGGGAUAUGUGUGUGAAUAUUGUUACAAGGCCCAUGAGGGAAUUCUAUUCCACAAAUGCCCGAUCCAUUGCAAUGUGUGUCUGACAGUGUGUGAUAGACUAGCAGGUCGUACGAUAAAGUGCAAGGACUGCAGUCGUAUAUGCCGCUCGCAGGUCUGCUACAACACACACAAGAAGCAUUCUGCCAAACAUGACAUGAUACCUUGUGAAAAGCUCAAAUACUGCGAUCGUUGUUGUAGACAGUAUAUCAUACCGAAGAAGAAGAAGAAGGGGGUGGGGGAGGGGGAGGAGGAGGAGGAGGAGGAGAAGGGUGACGCUAAUGGUCAUGUAUGCAGCGAUGCAAAGUGUCGUAAGUGUGGGGAGCCGAUGCCCGAAGAGGGAGUACAUGAUUGCUAUAUCCAGCCGUACGACAAGAAAAAGAAAAAGAAACGCAGGGGUGGUCCAUCGGAUGACGAUGAUGACGACGCUCCGCCUAAUAAAUACAUAUACUAUGAUUUCGAAACGCGCGUGCAUGAUGGUCGUCACGAAGCAAACUGUGUGGCGGCUAUUACGUCUGAAGGCAUAGAAUGGUAUGCUACCGGUCUAGAUUGUGUAAGAGAGUUUGUGAAACGCUACAGAACAGGGGAGUAUACGUUGUAUACAUUUGUGGCACACAAUGCGUCGGGCUUUGAUAACUAUAUCGUCCUGGACUACAUGACCAAGCAGGGUAUUAAACCCGUUUUAGUCAUGAAGGGUAGCAGAGUCAUUUUGAUGCGUGAUGACGCCUACCAGCAGAGAUGGGUCGACUCGUUUAGCUUUUUGCCCAUGCGACUGGCUAAUGCACCGGAGGCGUUGGAUUUUGAUGAUAUGGUAAAAGGUUAUUUUCCUCAUAAAUUCAACACACGGGCCAACGAGUCUUAUGUCGGUGCCUACCCUGAGAUCUCAUAUUAUGGUUAUGAUUCCAUGACUAGCGAUCAAAAGACAGAUUUCGCUAUUUGGUACAGAUCUGUACGACACAAAAAAUUUGACUUUCAGAAACAGCUGCGUCGCUACUGUGUCAACGAUGUGAUGAUCCUGUACACUGCGUGUGGGAUCUACAGGGAAAAUUUCAUAGAGUGUGCCAAUAUAGACCCCCUGGCCUAUGCCACCCUGGCUUCGGCGUGCAUGGCCACCUUCAAAAAGUCGUUCUUGAAGAAAAACGUCCUGGCAUUGACCUACGAGGGGGUCUAUAGGAAAAAGAAAAAGUCGUUCUCAUGUGCAUCCAUCCAGUGGCUUGAAUAUCUAUCCCGCUCCAAUAGCCUGGAGAUUCGGCAUGCUCUCAACCAUGGAGAGGCUAAAUAUGGGCCAUUCUUCCUAGACGGACAUGCCCCGUCUAUAAACACAGCCUAUGAAUUUGCAGGAUGCUUUUAUCAUGGGUGUGAACAUUGUUACAACGCUGGACACCAGAACCCUGUCCUCAAGAAGACCUAUGGCGAAUUGUGGGUGCAGUUUCACCUCAAAGUCAAGGCUCUCAAAAGAGAUCAUGGUUUAAGAGUCGUGGUCAUGUGGGAGUGUGAGUGGCACCGUCUGAAAAAGACCAAUGCUGCAGUGCAGGCAUUCUUGGCUACUCUGAAGAUACAACCCAGGAUUGAUCCUCGCGACUCUCUCUAUGGGGGUCGCACCAACGCCAUCAAAAUGUAUCACAAGGCCGAGCCCGGUGAGAAAAUACGCUACUAUGACUUUACCUCUCUCUACCCCACAGUACAGGCUCGCUGUCCUUAUCCUGUAGGGCACCCCCAGAUCAUUUUCAGGAAUUUUGGUCCUUUGGAUGGGUAUUUUGGCAUCAUCAAAUGCACUGUGUUGCCCCCCAGAGGUCUUUACCAUCCUGUGCUCCCUUUCAGGUGUCAUGGGAAGCUGAUGUUUCCCCUCUGUGGUACAUGUGCCGCUGAGCUCAAUCAGACAGCCGCGUGUCAUCACAGCAACGAUGAACGGGCUCUGACAGGCACCUGGGUGACUUUUGAGCUACAAAAAACAGUUGAAAUGGGCUACGUGUUAAUCCAGAUGCAUGAGGUGUGGCACUACCCCAAACGGUCAGAGACUCUGUUUAAAGGGUAUGUCAAAACGUUUCUCAAGCGUAAACAUGAGGCUUCAGGAUACCCCAGCACAGUGGAUACUGCGGAGAAACAGCGGGUGUAUGUGCAAAACUACCUGGCAAAGGAAGGCAUACUGCUGGAUCGCGACAACAUGUGUGUGAACAAGGCCAUGCGUAAUUGCAACAAGUUGAUUCUAAACAGUCUGUGGGGUCGCUUUUCACUACGCCCAGACCUACCCACUUGUGAGCUAAUUUCUGAACCUGAAAGGUUCACUCAGCUCAUGUUUAGCGACAGCUAUCACAUUAGUCACUUUUGCUUUAUCUCUGAUGCUGUGGCCCUUGUACAAUGGAAACACGUAGAUGCACGUCUCGCAAGGGCGCGGGAUGUCAACGUGAUUGUGGGGGCUGUGACUACCGCCAAUGUCAGGCUCAUGCUCUACGAUCUUCUAGACAAACUACAGGAACGUGUCCUCUAUUGUGACACAGACAGCAUCAUUUUUGUUUCUAAGGAGGGUGAUUGGGUACCCCCUUUAGGCCCUUAUCUGGGCGACUUGACCGACGAGAUAAAUGAUGGUGAUCUGUAUGGUACCGAACAGGAGGAUUACAUUAGCGAAUAUGUCUCAACAGGUCCUAAAAGCUAUGCAUACCACACCCGUCACCACAAGUCUGUCGUCAAAAGCAAAGGGGUGACUUUAAAUGCGGCAAAUGCUGCAGUGGUCACCCAGCAGACACUGAAAUGUCUAUUGGAUGAUUUUGUCAACCAACGGCCUCAAACCCUCGACAUCACCACCACAGUAGAUACCAUCCAGCGAGAUAAGACUAGGUUUCUGCUUAAAAACGCUACUGUAGUUAAACGGCUUAGGGUAGUUUACAACAAACGCAGGGUCUUCCCCGACUACACCACGCUUCCUUACGGUUAUUAA
ensembl:lncRNA